rnacentral:rRNA from 1 species
UACGGGGGGGGCAAGCGUUGUUCGGAAUUACUGGGCGUAAAGGCUCGUAGGCGGCCAACUAAGUCAGACGUGAAAUCCCUCGGCUUAACCGGGGAACUGCAUCUGAUACUGGAUGGCUUGAGAUUGGGAGAGGGAUGCGGAAUUCCAGGUGUAGCGGUGAAAUGCGUAGAUAUCUGGAGGAACACCGGUGGCGAAGGCGGCAUCCUGGACCAACACUGACGCUGAGGAGCGAAAGCGUGGGGAGCGAACAGG